rnacentral:rRNA from 1 species
AAUAGAUACCCAGGUAGUCCACGCCGUAAACGAUGAGUGCUAAGUGUUGGGGGGGUUUCCGCCCCUCAGUGCUGCAGCUAACGCAUUAAGCACUCCGCCUGGGGAGUACGGUCGCAAGACUGAAACUCAAAGGAAUUGACGGGGGCCCGCACAAGCGGUGGAGCAUGUGGUUUAAUUCGAAGCAACGCGAAGAACCUUACCAGGUCUUGACAUCCCGGUGACCACUAUGGAGACAUAGUUUCCCCUUCGGGGGUCAAUGGUGACAGGUGGUGCAUGGUUGUCGUCAGCUCGUGUCAUGAGAUGUUGGGUUAAGUCCCGCAACGAGCGCAACCCUUAUUCUUAGUUGCCAUCAUUCAGUUGGGCACUCUAAGGAGACUGCCGGUGAUAAACCGGAGGAAGGUGGGGAUGACGUCAAAUCAUCAUGCCCCUUAUGACCUGGGCUACACACGUGCUACAAUGGACGGUACAAACGGUUGUCAACCCGCGAGGGGGAGCUAAUCCGAUAAAACCGUUCUCGAGUUCGGAUUGUAGGCUGCAACUCGCCUAC